rnacentral:lncRNA from 1 species
CCUAGGCCACGAGAGCUGUCAGUAUGUUCGCUAGUCUAGCCACCUAAGUUCUAACCUAGUCGAGUCAAAGCUCGGUAGUAAAAACGGAAAAAUGCCUAAAUUGCUCUAAGUAUUAAGUUUGCUCUUAGGAUGCUCUCUCCUCUCUUCGUCUUAGGUCCUCCUUAGGUCGGUUUACCUCUUCUCGGGCCGGAUUUGUCGCGAAGCGGGCUUUUCCAUAUUUCCUUCUUCUUUGUGAUUAUCUUCGGAAAUUUGACAUUUAUCUCUUCCUGCGGAUGCGAUAAACCGUCAUACCAGUUUUUGGGUUCAAGUCAUUUGGGACCAAAGAUGGGCCGUUAUCCGCAAUUCGGACCCUCUUUGGGCCGUAUCGAGACUUAA